rnacentral:misc_RNA from 1 species
GAAAUGCGAUAAGUAAUGUGAAUUGCAGAAUUCAGUGAAUCAUCGAAUCUUUGAACGCAGCUUGCGCUCCUUGGUAUUCCUUGGAGCAUGCCUGUUUGAGUAUCAUGAAAUCUUCAAAGUAAAUCUUUUGUUAACUCAAUUGGUUUCUACUUUGGUAUUGGAGGUCUUUGCAGCUUCACACCUGCUCCUCUUUGUUCAUUAGCUGGAUCUCAGUGUUAUGCUUGGUUCCACUCGGCGUGAUAAGUUAUCUAUCGCUGAGGACACUGUAAAAGGUGGCCAAGGUAAAUGCAGAUGAACUGCUUCUAAUAGUCCAUUGACUUGGACAAUACUUUUAUGAUCUGAUCUCAAAUCAGGUAGGACUACCCGCUGAACUUAAGC